GCAUCACUACAAAUUUCCUGCCACCCAGGCAGCUUGGAGUUGAGGAAUUCUGCACACUGCAUCCAGGUGUAAAAGUAGCUCAGUGCCUGCGUGUUUGGGAUGCAGCUUCUGCAGGGCAGUGUUUGAACUUGGACAAAGUCCUGUUUCCCCUCCCAAAUUAAAGGAAAAAAAAGAAGAGGAGUACGUUACCUGGAAAGUCUGUGGAUGGGUGAAAAUUAGAAGACUCAGGAGGAAGAGGAGAGCAAAAGACGGAAGGCGUUGCGCUAAGAAAGGUAGCUGUUGGCAUAUAUGGAGUUAACGAAUCAUGCGACUAGAUGAAUUAUAGAAUUGCUUUAGGAUAGAGUCCUGUAUUCCAAGGAUAUGGGGGAAGAGAAAGCUCUACAUGAUGUGGAAAACGUAUGCAUGCAUAGCAGGUAAGAAUCCCAAUGCCACCUUGAAUCCCCACCCCAUAUUGAAAACUUUUUUUCUGCAAGACUGAUCCCCUCUCUGCUUACCUUGCCCUGCACAACAAGGAGUUAAAAACCUUACUGCCCCCCUAUCCAAAAAUCAUAACAGUAGUGUGAUAAUUAUUAGUCUUGAAAUAUUCAUUUUGUUGAAUGCGCGUCCAGGUUAAGAUGCCAGUUUUCUUGACACCUUCUAAUCAGACUUCAGACUGAGAAAACAGUGACUGCACCUGCAUCAUCAGUCUUCAUUUAGGAGGACGUGACCAAAAUCCAGCAAGAAAAUGCGCAGCAGUUCCCCUCUCUGAAGCCA